GUGUCUCAACACCGACGAGUCCUUUGUCUGUCAGUGCUAUGAGGGAUCAAUCCUUAAUGAUGAUUUUAAAAACCUGCAGCAGUAAAUCGUGCUUCAUACGUGGGAGUGCGGAGUGAUUUCCUCUAGCAGCUUCAUUCAAAACGCAUUAUGUAUCGUUUGGUACUACCACUGUCAAUCAGCUCAGAACUGUACCUGCCUCUGAAAAGGAUGCGCGGAUGGAGUUGUUGACUUGGUGUUUGUUAUUGAUUGAUCAAAAAGCCUUGGGUCUGAUAGCUUUGAGCUGGUGGAGCAGUUUUUUCAAAGGGAUCGUAGAUUCUCUGGACAUCUCCCCAACGACCACCAGGGUGGGUUUGCUGCAGUACGCUAGUGCAGGGCGAGUUCAGCUCUGUGAAGGAUGUUACUGAAGCAGUGUCCCAAAUGAAGUACAUGGACAGGGGCUCAAUGACAGGCAACGCUCUGAAGCACAUGUUUUGAGAUCAGCUUUACUGAAGCGGAAGGGGCGCGGCCGGCACCAGUGCCCAAAGUGACCAUUGUAUUCACUGACGUGCGCUGGCAAGAAGAUGUCUCUGAAUGAUCAAUUAAAGCACAGAAAAUGGUAUAACUAUCUAUGCAGUACGAGUCGGAAAAGCAAUUGAAGAUGAGCUAAGAGAAAUUGCAUCCAAGCCACAGGAUAAGCAUUUGCAUUAUGCUGAGGAUUUGAGCAGAAUGGAUGAAAUUGCAGAAAACUCAUCCCUGGAGGACCAGUGCAAGUGUGAAAACGUGAUAGGCUUCCAGGACCAAGCCAACGAGCCAAUGAGGAAGCUGCCCCAGCGGCAUAUCCUUUAAAGUUGUUCUUGUGUUCUCAAUCAGGAAAAUAGUGGUGAACAAUGACAGGUGUCCAUGAAUAUUACAUUGUGUAAUACAGUAGUUCCUAACAUACAGUAUUUGAGUUUUAAGAAAAUGUUUAUACGCUUAAUCAUCCUAACGUGGCUAUUAAAAAGUUUGUAAAAUACUGUAAAACUCCAGGAGACUGAUGAUGGUGUGCAUCAGGAACUGGGCAAACAGAAUAUCCAGAGGGCCCACUAAAACCAUCACUUUUUGGAUGCAAACAGAGAAUCCCAGAGCAAGUAUCAAAUAUGAAUAAUUAUUGACCUAUAUUCUGUUCCAGCUAAGGUCCUUGACUCACAAGUUAUUGUACAAUUAAAUAAUAAUAUAAUAAUAUCUUUAUUUUUAUAUAGCGCCUUUCAUAGUGGACCACCAUCACAAAGUGCUUUACAGAGGUAGGCUGUGAACAGUUAAAGCACUAUUUGAAUUCUAAUAACAUUCUUAGUAAAAUGCAGUCUGGUUUUAGAUCUAAUCACGGUACUGUGACAGCAAUCCUAAAAGUUAUGGAUGGUAUUAUCUUGCUCUUGGAUAAAAAUGAGGCAAGUCUGUAUUAUUAUUUAUUUCUUAGCAGACGCCCUUAUCCAGGGCGACUUACAAUUGUUACAAGAUAUCACAUUAUACAUUAUUUCACAUUAUAUAGAUAUCACAUUAUUUUUACAUACAAUUACCCAUUUAUACAGUUGGGUUUUUACUGGAGCAAUCUAGGUAAAGUACCUUGCUCAAGGGUACAACAGCAGUGUCCCCCACUGGGGAUUGAACCCACAACCCUCCGGUCAAGAGUCCAGAGCCCUAACCACUACUCCACACUGUAUGUUCAUUGACCUUUCUAAGGCUUUUGACACAGUGGAUCAUGAGCUUCUGACUCAGCCGAUAUAUAGUAGGUGAGAAGGUGGUUGGAUGGUUUAAUAAUUAUUUUAUAAAGAAAAUCCAAAGUAUAAAAGUGGAUCUAUUCAUUUCAGGGAGUAUUGAAUUCAAAAAGGAGUUCCUCAGGGAUCUCUACUUGGUCGGACCGGAUUAACACUUGGAAUUAGUAUACAUUUAUCACCCUUAUCAUGUGAUCGGGCUGUAGCAUAUAAUGAUGAUGUCUAUUACGAGUUGCGGCACACGCAGCACUACCCUGGGUGAGCUACGCUGUGGGAGCCUUCGUUUUGCAACAAUACCCCUCUAGAUCAACUGCGUUCCUUUUACUCUGUGCGCGUCUGGCGUAAAUGUACAUAUAUAUAUAUAUAUAUAUAUAUAUAUAUAUAUAUAUAUACACACAAAAUCAGCAUGUCAAAUAGUUAUUAUUACCAUGUUCAAAGUGAAACAGUAUAUAUUUUUUCUUCAAUAAUAACGGCACAUUUAAAUUGGUUGUUUAUGAGUAGCCUACAGACCACUGUCCCUUUAAAAAUAAAAACAAACAAAAAAAUAGAGCUGAAAAGUCAAACCACCUGGAAGUUGGUUACUUAUUCCCGGUUCCUUAUUUGCGAUGUAGUUGACAAAGCAGCGUGUCCUUUUUCUGUGUUGUUUAACUCACUACACAUCUUGCUUAAUUAAUAUAUUGCUACUAUUUAAAAAAAUAAUCGCUCCUUAUUUAAAAAAACUAAAAUAUUAAUAACAAAUCUGUAUCAGCAGCAUAGCGGUACCCUAUAUUAAACGCUUGUUUUGCCCCAUUUACCACCUUAGAAGUCUUGCUCACUAAAUAUCGAAGUAUCCUUAGAUAGGAUAUAACCCCCUCUUUGCAAAAACACUAAAGAUUUUAGUGAGCAAGCCGUACCCCACGAUCAGCAGCACCCUAAAGUGUAGCCCAUUAUAACCAAUAAAGAACGCAUGGGGGCACAUCUUUGGAUGACCCAUUUACCCCCCUUAUAGACAGCUUGUUCACUAAAUAUAGAGGUAUCCCUAGAUAGGGUAUAAUGCCCUCUUUGUAAAAACACUAAAGAUUUUAGUGAGCAAGCCGUAACCCACGAUCAGCAGCACCCCAAAGUGUAGCCCAUUAUAACCAAUAGAGAACGCAUGGGGGCACAUCUUUGGAUGACCCAUUUACCACCCUUAUAGACAGCUUGUUCACUAAAUAUAGAGGUAUCCCUAGAUAGGGUAUGUAUGUGAAGAUCACAACAGAAUUUACAGUAACAGACGAUUGUAAUUUACAUGCUUGCUUGCUCAGCUACAACAUACUAAUAUAAUUCUCGCUUACUUACACGUAAAUGCUGCGUGCAUACACAACCAAAUAAUUUAGAUACAGUACUCCCAGAUUUGUAUUUUUAGUGCAUGACAUACUGCAUUGUUAAAGGAAGUGCCCAACCAAAUGUGUUUUUACAUCAAUUCACAGUAAUUUUUUUGUUCAAAUUAGCAAUUUCCGUGACAAAAUUGUAGCCUUAAUUAUAGUCCCUGUAUUUUAUAACGUAGAAGAAACUAUUUUGAUAGAUAUGAAUGCUCUCCUUUUAUUUCCUUAUCCCCUGAAUCCUGAAAGUCAUGUCAAGAAAAGUGGAGGCUCUGGAGAAUCGCUUGGGAUACAAAUGAAGAAAGACGAGAGCAAAAAAAUAUAUAUAUAUAUAUUUUUUACAUAUAAAUGUUUCUAUAAUGAUUAUAGUAAAAUAUUUAUAAAGCAUUUUUAGAUGGUGUUCUGCGUUUCUUUUUGUUAAAAUGCAUCUGUGACUAUGCCAGGAUAUUAAUAACACAUUUCAUGUUAUGUGAUAAAUAUUUAUUAGUUGCCACCGUUUUUAAUCACUGCAAAUCUGAAACUUCUAGCAACCCCAUAUGAGAUUAAGUGCACAUUGAUUUUAUGAUUGAUUAGAACACAAUAAGUAUGCUGAUAACGUGCUGUAAUAUGCCUUACCUGGCUAAUAUUACUGUUGGCAAUGUAAAGGCAAUAAUAUAAACUGACUGACAAGCCGUUUGAAACACAGAAUACUGUAGUAUUGAACCUAAAAUUAGCAUGUAUUUAUUCAAAAUACAUUUUUGUAUGAAUAACUACAUAAUCAGCUUUUGCAAAUGUGAUGAAAACAAGACAAAGUUACUUUAAGAAGGUCCGUGUAAGCACAUGGUUUGGUAGGUAAAAACAAAACCACCGUCUCCCAUUGUAUACCCGUUUCUUAAUGUAGGACCAGAGGUUUACCCAGUAAAAGUAUAUAUAUAUUUUUUCUAAAACAUUAAGUGUGCUUCAGCUCAAGGUACAUGACUUCAAUGGUUAAUAUCAAGUCAAGUUAAUAAUUUAUCUUUAAUUGUAAAUAAAAUAACU